GAGGAUGCCUGCACCUUCCCAGCACGGCCUUUUGCUUGCAGAGCUGCAGUGACAGCCACGACGUGCUCUGGAGGGAUGUGGCAGAGGUGGACAAUGCAUACCACUGUUUAGAAGCAACUCUGAUGGAGUCAACCAGGAGAGCUCAAGUGCUCAAUGUGGAAUUUAAGGCCCAAUCCUGAUGUUGGCAAAGUUAGUAGAAGACUUACUGAAAGACUAGUGGAAAGAAUUUGAAGGGUUUUAAUGAGGAAAAUAUUCCCAAGCAGAGGAAAAAUAAAUGGGUUCAGCUGCCUGCCUUUAUUAGGAAAGGCUACUUAAGAGAGGACUUCUAGAACUGGGAGAGCAUGGAUUAAGUUAUGAAAGAUAUACAUGUGGCCAUUCCAUAUGUUUGUACCAAAAAUGUGAAACAAGAAACCCAACCCAGCAAAACCAUUCAUGAAACAAAGGCUGAAAAGCCAUGAUUGAUGCCAACAAGGAGAGAAACAUUAAUAUUUCAGAUUUAUUUUACUGUGUGGUGUUUUCUGUUGUGCUCUGACAGGUUAUAGCACACGAUCUGUGCAAUAAUCAAGGCUUCUUGCUGAAGACAGCACAUAAACAAGUCUGGUUAGAGCUAGGAGCCUGAGAGAGCACCAAUGGAUUCAAGGAUGAGCAUCUGGUGGCAUUCAUAGUAGUAGUUACCAAGAAAUAUAUGAUCCUGGUCAGCUAAAAGCAGAUAAACCAGCACACAGACUACUCAAUUCUGCACAGAAAUGCAAACAUGGUUUGUUAUAUGGAGUGGUCUGAGGUGUGUCUGACUGGGAACACACCAACUCCAGGGAAAGGAGUUUGGAAGCCAUGUAAGAGAUGUUUACAGGUGAUGGGUGGCGUCUCCACUAAGCUGUCAAAUCCUGAAAUAUUAAGAGGAUCUCUCACUUCCCAGAGCUGUGGAGACAUUUAUCUGCACUGGACUUUGGCACCACAAUUGUGUCUGCAUCUGUUCAGAACUGAGAAGAAAGACAAGUGACAACCAGUCCAAAGUGCCAGACUGAAAGCUUGUUCCAGCUUCCAAUACAUCUUUCCCAGCAAAGUGUCGGCGAGCCUGAAGGGUUCUCUUCAAUCAGUUUUUUUCACUUGCUCAUAAUUGAAAAUUGUCAACAAGUGUCUGUGAAGAUUUCCCUGAUUUUUUUUUUAUUUGUUUUUAAGGGGAAAAUGACAACUACGUGUCUCAGCUUGCAUCUCUCUGCUCCUUGCUAUCAGCAGAGCACGCUGUACCUGCUCAAAAUAAUUAUUGCACUCUACCUUGUGCAUAGAGUAACCGAAACACUCCAUCCCCUUCAAGGAUGCUUCCUCCUUCCUGCCUGUUUUCAGCCACGUGAGGCCACGCUAAAUGAAGACUAACCUGACUGCUCAGUGAGCACACAGAGUAGGAUGCAAUGGUUUCCUCAUGGCUAAUUUUGCAAUCCCAAUGACCAAUUGUCACAAUGCGACUGUUCAGCUGGGGGUGAGCUCUGAUUUCUGCUCUUUUUGAGGGACAUGAUUGCUGGCUGCUUGUGGCCCACACUACCCUAUGUGCCCUAUGUCUGAAGUAAGGGUAUUCAGGGACAUGAAAGAAAGACCAACCUGAAUUAGAAGCACUGCAGUGGAUGGAAGGAAAAAACAGGCUUUCAACUCUCUUUGUAGUAUGACGUGCACUACAGCACUGUGUAUUUAUUAAGAUGAUGAGUCUGGUCCAGCUGCCCUUCAAGCCCAGGGAAAGCACUGCCAAGCCUGAUGGGCUUCCUGAAUUCAGGACAACUCACCACCAACUCUGUUUUCUUCUUCCAUCGAGAGCCUUUCAGUCCACUCAUAACUCCUCUGCUCCUUCGCUUGGGUUUCCAAUAGCACUUUGAUUCAUUCCUCACUCUCACACACAUUCCUCUUCAUGACUGAGCUUUUAACUUGUAAAUCAGAACCAGCAAAUCCCAGCAAUACUGUAAUUUACCACAGAGCUCUCCGUGAAGCAGUCACAAAUUAGCUGUACUAAUGGCGUCUAACUGGUUUGAUGCUGAUGAAGCAACAGCAAGACCCAGCAGUGGUGUGAUCAGCUGCAAGCAAUGCUGGUUUUGUGGGGCUCUUCAGAAUGAUGGGAUUUCACAGUCCUUGCGUGGCUUUUUGUCUCCAUUUCUGUCACUGACAAUUUUCCAUUCUUCUCAGUUUUUUCCUUUUUUUUCAAUGAGCUCCUAUAAAGAACUCUGUUUUGCUUGGGUUUGCGUGCAGGGGGAAGCCUCUUAUUUAAAAGCAGACACCCUGGGGCACUGCUUGGUGUCAUUUUAUUUUAUUUUUUCUUUAUUUUGCUUAUCGAGGCUUCUAUACUCUGAAAGAUUGUUAUGUGAAAGCUUUUAGAUUCAGCACAACUCAUCUUAACAACCCUUAGGGUCUGGCAUUUUGCAUAUACUCUCCAGGUAUUCAUCAUCCCUAGGAGCAAACUGCAGAGGAAUUUAGGACUAAAAACUAGGUCAUUUCAGUGAUGUAUGCAAAAAUUUUAGGCUGAUGAGUGCAAUUUCAGUGCCUAAUUUCUUCUAAUACUUGAAGUGGUUUGGAAGGACUGACAGCUC